GACGAACGCUGGCGGCGUGCCUAAUACAUGCAAGUAGAACGCUGAAGGAGGAGCUUGCUUCUCUGGAUGAGUUGCGAACGGGUGAGUAACGCGUAGGUAACCUGCCUGGUAGCGGGGGAUAACUAUUGGAAACGAUAGCUAAUACCGCAUAAGAGUAGAUGUCGCAUGACAUUUGCUUAAAAGGUGCAAUUGCAUCACUACCAGAUGGACCUGCGUUGUAUUAGCUAGUUGGUGAGGUAACGGCUCACCAAGGCAACGAUACAUAGCCGACCUGAGAGGGGGAUCGGCCACACUGGGACUGAGACACGGCCCAGACUCCUACGGGAGGCAGCAGUAGGGAAUCUUCGGCAAUGGACGGAAGUCUGACCGAGCAACGCCGCGUGAGUGAAGAAGGGUUUCGGAUCGUAAAGCUCUGUUGUAAGAGAAGAACGAGUGUGAGAGUGGAAAGUUCACACUGUGACGGUAUCUUACCAGAAAGGGACGGCUAACUACGUG
rnacentral:rRNA from 1 species